UGCCUUGUUUUUGCAGUUUUUUUCAUUUGAGUUUAAAAAAAUUUUACGUAUUAAAAGUAAAAAUUACCUGUACAAAAAAAAAUUGAAAAGUAUUAAAAAUCAAAAAAAAUAUCAAAGAAUGGGUGCCAAUUGCUGUAAAUGUUGUUGUUGUUGUUAUGAAGGCACACCGCAGCCUCCAAAGAUGAAACGCGAAGUUAAAAUCAAGCCCUCAAAGGAAUAUUGCCAUAGACCCGACCUUCCACCUCAACCCCAACGCUCCAAUAUCCGUUGCCAGUGCCUGCCCAAGAUAACUCCGAGUGUUAUCUAAAGACUGGAGUCUUAUGUGCCUAUUUUGUUCCGAGGGGGGAUUUCUAUCUGUCUGCACAAUAUGUAAGCAAAAUGUGUGGCACAAAAUCAACUUUUACCCACAGCUGAUGUUUGCGUUUACUCGUAUUUUAUUGCCACGUAAGUAGCACGAUCAUAAAUCAGAGGCAACAUCUGCACAGACGGAAGUGAGUGGGGAGAGGGGGCAGCCGCACUGUGGGUUGGGGGCAGCCACGGUAUAUGAAGCAGACGCGCAGCUAUGAAAAACAAAAAAAAAGGUCGGUUUGAUGAUGUCAAUGUUAUGCAAAAAACCCUUCAAAUGUUAGUCAUGGACAGAGCAAGAUUGAGGGGAAUUGAAACAGAAAAACAAACCAAAAUAACUAGCGCAAAAUGACUCAAGAAGAAGACAUUUUAAAACAGAAUUGGAUUAUAAUGAAAUAUUAAUCAAUGUCAAGGCCACAAACGUGAAGAAAACUACAAAAAAUUCGGAUCAAGAAUAAUAGAUAUGAAACUUGUAAGGAGUAGUAUGUUAUUUUAUACAUUGUACAUGUAUCUAAUAUUUAUUUAAUUUAUAUUAAAACCGCACGCAUUCGCUGAAGCCAAUGUUAAUCGAUAUAUAAAAUUCA